GAGGGUAUAGCUAAAUCAGUAGAGCUUGUGCUUGGCAUGCAUGAGGUCCUGGGUUCAUCCCCAGUACCUCCU
rnacentral:tRNA from 1 species